rnacentral:rRNA from 1 species
UUGGAGGGCAAGUCUGGUGCCAGCAGCCGCGGUAAUUCCAGCUCCAAUAGCGUAUAUUAAAGUUGUCACAGUUAAAAAGCUCGUAGUUGAAUUUCGGGAUUAGUACGUUGGUCGUGCCUUCGGUACGUACUGGUGUUACUGAUUCCUACCUUCUGACGAACCAUCAUGUCAUUAAUUUGGUGUGGCGGGGAAUCAGGACUGUCACUUUGAAAAAAUUAGAGUGUUUAAAGCAGGCUCGCGCUUGAAUACAUUAGCAUGGAAUAAUGAAAUAGGACGUUGACCCUAUUUUGUUGGUUUCUAGGAUUGACGUAAUGAUUAAUAGGGAUAGUUGGGGGCAUUAGUAUUCAAUUGUCAGAGGUGAAAUUCUUGGAUUUAUUGAAGACUAACUACUGCGAAAGCAUUUGCCAAGGAUGUUUUCAUUAAUCAAGAACGAAAGUUAGGGGAUCGAAGACGAUCAGAUACCGUCGUAGUCUUAACCAUAAACUAUGCCGACUAGGGAUCGGAUGAUGUUAUUUUUAAUGACUCAUUCGGCGCCUUACGGGAAAC